rnacentral:rRNA from 1 species
ACCUACGCCCUACACCGGGGAAUAGCCCGUCGAAAGGCGGAUUAAUGCCCCAUGGUCCUUUUUCCGGGCAUCCGGGGGGAGGUAAAGAUUCAUUGGUGUAGGAUGGGCAUGCGUGCCAUUAGCUGGACGGUGGGUAACGGCCCACCGUGGCGACGAUGGCUAGGGGUUCUGAGAGGAAGGCCCCCCACACUGGGACUGAGACACGGCCCAGACUCCUACGGGAGGCAGCAGUGAGGAGUAUUGGUCAAUGGGCGGAAGCCUGAACCAGCCCAUGCCGCGUGCGGGAAGAAGGCGCUACGCGUCGUAAACCGCUUUUGUCCGGGGGUAACCGUGGGGACGUGUCCCCACCUGCAAGUACCGGACGAAUAAGGGUCGGCUAACUCCGUGCCAGCCGCUGC